AGUGGGGAAUAUUGCGCAAUGGGCGAAAGCCUGACGCAGCGACGCCGCGUGAGGGAUGAAGGUCUUCGGAUUGUAAACCUCUUUCAGCAGGGACGAAGCGAAAGUGACGGUACCUGCAGAAGAAGCACCGGCUAACUACGUGCCAGCAGCCGCGGUAAUACGUAGGGUGCAAGCGUUGUCCGGAUUUAUUGGGCGUAAAGAGCUCGUAGGCGGUUAGACACGUCGGAUGUGAAAACUGGGGGCUCAACCCCCAGCCUGCAUUCGAUACGGUCUGACUAGAGUGUGGUAGGGGUAACUGGAAUUCCUGGUGUAGCGGUGAAAUGCGCAGAUAUCAGGAGGAACACCGAUGGCGAAGGCAGGUUACUGGGCCACCACUGACGCUGAGGAGCGAAAGCGUGGGGAGCAAACCGGA
rnacentral:rRNA from 1 species